AUAGUGUGGAAUGUUAAAAAUAAUUUCAAUUUCAAAAAGAGAUGGAACAAACAUAAGGACCUGUGAUUGUGUGGUGGUUAGGACGUUAGACUCGCAAUCUGGAGUUCACAGGAUGCUUGUCCUUUCAACCAUGGAGGCUAUGUAAUUUAACGGUCAAUCUUACUAUUCAUUGGUAAAGAAUAACUCAAAAAUUGGCGGUGCAAGUUGUAAACCAGAUUGUGAAAAUUGCAGCAUGUGCAUGCCCAGUUGGAAAGGAUAAGUGCCAUUAUAUGGCUGCACUACUGAUUUAGAUAAAGAAAAAUGUUACAUGAACAGAUGCUGAAUUGCAGUGGAGCCAUCCCAAUAGAAUCAAGUAUGAAGAAACCAUUCCAAAACUGCUAUCAGAGCUUUACCUUUGCUUCUGGCAGAAGCAAAGCUAGAAUAACAAGGCCUGUCCAAGAAGAGGACAUCUGCUGAAUGCAACAAAGGCUAUCUUCACUUGGAAGAUUUACAGGCUUGAGAUGAAUUCUUUCUCCAGAGUCACAGUUGAUAAUAUCAUAAAUGACUUUACUGAAUGACUAAACAAGUUUUUUUAUGAAUCAAACAAUAUUUUGUGAGAUGAAAAUAAUGGUAAAAAAGUAUAUAUUUACAUAUCAUGAGAAUUAUAUAUAUUAUAUGAAUGUGGACUUUUUAGGAAAAAUCUGCUGUAAA